GAGAGAGAGAGAGAGAGAGAGAGAGAGAGAGAGAGAGAGGCAACAAUGCCUGGGGGAAGCAUCCAAAGGGAUCGCAUUGAUCCAUCAUUCCUUCCAUCCUUCCAUGGUGCGCAUCGUCUAACAAGCACGGCUUGACGGAUCAUGCGAUCCUUUUGGAGGCUUCCUCUAGCCAUUACUCCAUCUUGGUAAUCACUCGCUACUGCUUGCUUGAUUGGCUUCAUCAUCCUUACCGGAUGAUGAUCAAGAGCUGCAUCCUUCCCGUCUCUGAAUCUUUCCGCGCUUGCCAUCAGAAGAAGGUAUGCAGUUAAUUGGUCUUGCAGGGCUGUGCUUAGUGAGAUUUUGGGUAGUUUGACGAUUUAUUCGUUGCUAUGCUUGUUCCUUUUCUUCUUCUUUUUGCGAUUACGUUUUCGCUUGUUCCUGCUAGAAAAAUGAUCAGAGCUUUGGGUAUAUAUUACAUGCAUGUUGAAGAUCAGCAUCUAUAUAUGUAGACAAGCUGUACAUGGAGGCUGCACCACCUAGUGUGUAUUCUUGUCCUCUACAAGUGAUUGAAAGAUUUGCUAAGCAAAGCCAAAGCAUGUUGUUGGAUACUUAGGUGCGUGGUAAAAAAAAAAAGAAGAAAGGUGACCGUUUAUGGAUGCCACAGUUACACACCUUCCGAAUAUUAUUUUAGGAAAACAUUCCAAAUACUUGCUAUUAAUAUAAGAAUCUAUAAUUAGCGCAGAUGGUACGACAAUCAUUGAAUAAACAUUGUGAAUCAUGCAUCUUCAAGUAUUUCCAUACUUAUAUAAGUAUGUUCUGUAGUGUAUGUUGCAAUCAGAAAUUGCUUGUCAGCUUUGCAUUUUAGGGGCUAAGGGCAAUCAAAGCAUCACUUCUUCAGUUCUUUGAGAAAAAGGUUGGCAAUUCACAGCUUCCCAGGCAUGUGUUGUGGUAGAUUCAGGAACAUAUGUAUCCUUCAAUUACUGCCGUAUUUAAUUAAUUUUGUUAUAGUGUGGAGCAUAUAUAAAAACUUCAGAUGCACUGGAAUAAACUAGUGACUGAAAGGACUCUCCUAGCUGAUCAUCAGAUGCAUGCAGGCCCUAAUCGUACUAUUUAACAUUAAAUUGUUAGUCGCGGCGCUGCCAAAGAUGCCCUUUGACUCGCUCGAGAUCCAGUCUCCUCGCACACAGCAUGUGCAUGCACAUCGAUCAGGAGCAAGCAAUGCAAUGCAGGAACGGCGCCGCUGACGAGGAAGAUCCCGGUCUCCGGCCUGCUGCCUGCAAGGUCGCCGACAUGGACGCCGUUGUUGAUGCAAUCCUAUACAGGCAGUUUCAGUUCGUACAGCCUUCCCCUGUUAAGUUCUUUUUACAUAUGUGUAAAUGUAGUUAAGGACUUCAGAUUAUAAUAUAUGCUAGAACUACAUGCAUGCUUUGGAAUUUAUGUAACAGAAACUUCUAAAUUCUAGUUAUGUGUAAUAAACCCAACUUGAUUGAAA